AUUUAAUUUUAGGCGCGACGUUUUAUCCAUAUAUUUUGUGAACUCCGACGAGAGGCGAGAAUCUCGACUCCUCAAAUUUCACGGGAGCAGUCGGACAGCCAAUUGCCACACCGCCCAUGGUGGCGACGUUUGUUCCUUUUUGCUCGAACUUCACCCUAAAACUCUGCCAUUCUAAUCCCCCUUUGAUCCUCGCACCCCUACGCAAAAAUCAAAGAGGCGCGAAGUUGAAAUGUUGCGGUGUUGCGAGGCCUCAAAUUCUGCCUUCUGCAUUCGGUGAAGACGAUGGCCUUCGAGUCUUUGUGCUCUCCGAUCUGCAUACGGAUUACGACGAAAAUAUGAACUGGAUUCACUCCUUGUCAUCGGACAAAUAUAGAGACGAUGUUCUAAUUGUUGCCGGAGAUGUAGCCGAGACCAUAAGUAAUUUUGUUUCAACAAUGGCUACGUUGAAGGAUAGAUUUGAGCGCGUCUUCUUUGUGCCUGGGAAUCACGAUUUGUGGUGCCGUCGGGAGGGAGACAAUUAUCUCGAUUCUCUUGAGAAGAUGAGUAAACUUCUUGAUGCGUGUAUAGAUCUUGGAGUUGAUACCAAUCCGGCAAUCUUGAACGGAUUGGGAAUAGUUCCGUUAUUCUCUUGGUAUCACGAGAGCUUUGACAGAGAAAUGGACUUACAGGGCAUCCGCAUUCCAUCUCUGGAGAUGGUGUGUAAAGACUUCCAUGCAUGUAAAUGGCCUGGAGAUCUUUCAAAUGAAGGUGCUUCACUAGCAUUGUUCUUUGAUGCAAUGAAUGAAAAGAAUAAUAUAAUCAUUGAGAAGAUUCGAAGAACCUGCAGUCAGAUAAUUACAUUUUCUCACUUUGUUCCCAGGCUAGAGCUAUGUCCAGAAAAGAGGAUGCUCUUCUACCCAAAACUCCCUAAAAUCAUUGGCUCAGAUUAUCUCGAGGAUCGUAUAAGAUCAAUACAUGGGAGUAAAGAAACAACAUCAGCAUGUCAUGUGUUUGGUCAUACCCAUUUCUGCUGGGAUUUAGUACUUGAUGGCAUCAGGUAUGUCCAGGCACCAUUGGCUUAUCCCAGAGAACGCAAGAGAAGGAUGAAUGGCGGCGAAAAUUGGCUUCCUUUUUGCAUUUAUUCCAACGAAAGGUUCGCUCAUAAACUCACUCCUUGUUACUGGUCCGAUUAUUAUGCAGCCAAUCCAAGAUCACCACACGACACUCAGCUUGCUCCCUGGGUUGCCAAAUUCUAUAAAAGGAAUUGAAAGAACAGUUCAGGAAUGAGAUAAACAACUGACGAGGACGAGAAGGAUAUGCAUUAAGGGAAAAACUUUGGACCUAUUCCUGCUAAUCAUACCAAGAGCGAGAACGGAGCCUUCGCCAGCGAAGACGAAGAUGAAAGUGGAAAUGAACUCAGCCAAGGUGGCACGAAUGGAGUCGGGGUGGGUGGCCUCAUCGGCCCGUCCAAAAGCGUAUCGUCUCGGCGGCAUAACGGCGGUGAAAAACAGAAUCACCAAAACUCAAAACACUUCCUCCCGAAGCAGAGCGUUUGGUUAAGUCUCCUUUCCUUUCUUGGUUGUCGAAAGACCUGAAAGUGGAAAAUUAUGGUAUGUGAGAGCUUGAAAUUGCAAAUCUGCAUGUAGGAUUGUGGGAUUUUUAAAACGAGGGGGAAAAUGAGGGAUUGAGAGAAGGAUGACAGGUGGAAAUAGGUGGUGGUUUUGGGGUGACACGUAAUGAUAUGUGUAAGCUCUUCAAUUUCGAUUCCAAACACAAAAUCACACUCUCUUAUCUUUUCCCUUGCUUUGGAUUUGUUUGGACGUUUUGGAGCUGUUCCGUUUCGGACGAUAUAUAGAUAUACAUCCCGAAGUUAUCCUGCCUUUGAUGCAUUUCCCCAUUUCCUUUCCUUCCUUUCGUCUUACCUGUUUUGGAUGUUGGCCCAUUUGCCUGAUCCAUUUAUGCAAUACACUAAUAAGGCCCAAGGCCCAUUUCCUAUUUCAA